rnacentral:rRNA from 1 species
CCCUUAGAGUUUGAUCCUGGCUCAGGAUGAACGCUAGCUACAGGCUUAACACAUGCMAGUCGAGGGGAAACGAUAUUGGAAGCUUGCUUCCGAUAGGCGUCGACCGGCGCACGGGUGAGUAACGCGUAUCCAACCUGCCCAUCACUUGGGGAUAACCUUGCGAAAGUAAGACUAAUACCCAAUGAUAUCUCAAGAAGACAUCUGAAUGAGAUUAAAGAUUUAUCGGUGAUGGAUGGGGAUGCGUCUGAUUAGCUUGUUGGCGGGGUAACGGCCCACCAAGGCUACGAUCAGUAGGGGUUCUGAGAGGAAGGUCCCCCACAUUGGAACUGAGACACGGUCCAAACUCCUACGGGAGGCAGCAGUGAGGAAUAUUGGUCAAUGGGCGAGAGCCUGAACCAGCCAAGUAGCGUGCAGGAUGACGGCCCUAUGGGUUGUAAACUGCUUUUAUAAGGGAAUAAAGUGAGCCUCGUGAGGCUUUUUGCAUGUACCUUAUGAAUAAGGACCGGCUAAUUCCGUGCCAGCAGCCGCGGUAAUACGGAAGGUCCGGGCGUUAUCCGGAUUUAUUGGGUUUAAAGGGAGCGUAGGCCGGAGAUUAAGCGUGUUGUGAAAUGUAGAUGCUCAACAUCUGCACUGCAGCGCGAACUGGUUUCCUUGAGUACGCACAAAGUGGGCGGAAUUCGUGGUGUAGCGGUGAAAUGCUUAGAUAUCACGAAGAACUCCGAUUGCGAAGGCAGCUCACUGGAGCGCAACUGACGCUGAAGCUCGAAAGUGCGGGUAUCGAACAGGAUUAGAUACCCUGGUAGUCCGCACGGUAAACGAUGGAUGCCCGCUGUUGGUCUGAAUAGGUCAGCGGCCAAGCGAAAGCAUUAAGCAUCCCACCUGGGGAGUACGCCGGCAACGGUGAAACUCAAAG